rnacentral:rRNA from 1 species
GACGAACGCUGGCGGCGUGCUUAACACAUGCAAGUCGAACGAAGUGGCGAACGGGUGCGUAACGCGUAAUCAACCUGCCCUUCAGAGGGGGACAACAGUUGGAAACGACUGCUAAUACCGCAUAAUGAAGGAGGGGAUUGCGUCUGAUUGGCUGGUUGGAGGGGUAACGGCCCCACAAGGCGAUGUUCAGUAGCCGGUCUGAGAGGAUGAAUGGGCAAAUUGGUGAUGAGACACGGCCCAGACCGCUACGGGAGCAAGCAGGGGGGAGUCUUCCGCAAUGGACGAAAGUCUUACGGUGCAACGCCGCGUGAGUGAUGACGGCCUUCGGGUUGUAAAGCUCUGUUAAUCGGGACGCGGUACCGGAAUAGAAAGCCACGGCUAACUACGUGCCAGCAGCCGCGGUAAUAC